GGGGCUUUAGCUCAGUUGGGAGAGCGAAACACUGGCAGUGUUUAGGUCGGGGGUUCGAAUCCCCCAAGCUCCACCA
rnacentral:tRNA from 1 species